rnacentral:sRNA from 1 species
AGUAAAGAAGUACGGUUGCGAUGGUGCGAUCAUU